AAAGUUGUCUCCGCCGAUGUUUUACAAAAACCCCCUUCCCUUUCUUCCGACAAGCCACGCAGCCCAUCGCGCCUGCUCUGUCGCCUCGCCACGCACCGGCGGCCUGCUCCGCCGCCUGCUCCGCCGCCUUGCCGCCUGCUCUGCCGGCUCUCCACCUGCUCCGUCUCCUCGCCACGCCCCGGCCGCCUCCUCCCCCUCGUCUCGCCGCUUUUCUUCCUUCGCACAAGGAGAUCCAGAGGGAAGGAUCCCCUUUUUCUGCAAAGCCCGCGCCUUCCCGGCUCCGGCGGCGGCGCUCAUGUCCUGGAGGGAGUUGGGGCUUGAUCUGGAGGCAUGGAAGAUCCUAGAGCUCCUCGUCCUCGAGCUCCUCCUCCACACGACGAGCGGCUGCUGCGGAAGUCAACGGCGUGGGGAAGACGACCACGGCAUGGGGAAGACGAAGACUUGCUCCAGCCACAUGCCACUGCCCCGUGCUCCUCUUGCCACUGCCAUUUCCCUCCUCGAGCUGGCGGACUGAUGAUGGAGGACCCGCCCUCUUCACUCCACCGGCGCCGUCGCUGCCGCUUUUGCUUCUGCUUCUGCUGCCCGCUCGCCCACAGUAGCGCAGCGAUUGGAGGAAGACUUGGUGCAGAGGAAUGAAGUACGAGUACGGAUGCUGCUUCCGUUGUUGAUCUCAGGUGAGCUUGCUAGAUGAGUACAAAUACGCCCUUGAUGAUUUUAAAACUACUGUUAGCCAUGGAAUUCAGUAAGAUAAGAUAUGCUUGAGAUGAACAUGCCACUGUCCAGUAAGAUAAGAUAAAACCAUGACAAUUUUGACUAGGAAGCAUAACAAUCUCAAACUAAUUGAGUAAAAAUUCAGUAAACUUGUGCAUCUAGGAAUCAAAACCUGAACAUCAACUUGACAGAUCAAAAGUUCAACUAAUUGAGUAAAAAUUCAGUAAACUUGACAGAUCAAAACCUGUCAAAAAUUGAUAGGUUUUGAAAGAAAAUGACAGGUUCUGAACAUCAACUUGACUGAACAAAGAUCUUGACUGAAUAAUACAGUUAAUUCUGAAACUUCAAAAGUUAACUGAAAUUUUUGUCCUCUUGGAUUCAGCUACUGAACAUGAUCACUAUUGAACAUGAUCAUAUUCUGAUUGUACUUGUGUUCAAAAGUUCACUGAAAUUUUUGUGAAGUUUUAAACAAAAUGAUUACUAUUGCAUCUAGGAAUCAUUGUUCUGCUCCUAUAUGUAGUGGUGCUGCUAUAAAUUUUCUAUGCACUGAAUUUUCUAUGCAUGUACUCCCAUGGCCUCCUAAUUUUUAUGCAGAUCAAGAUGCUCAAGAUAAUCUUGAUGUAUUAUUGACACUUUGAUCUCUGAAUGUUGUUAAAGAUUAUCAAGAAUGCUUAGUUUGACAUUUGGAUCUCUGAAUGAUGUUAAAGAUUAUCAAGAUGCACAUUAUCAAGGAUGCUAGUUUGACAUUUUGAUCUCUAGUCUGGCCCAUCGACUCCUCCUCCUCCUCCCCGUGCUCAUCGACCUCAUGCACAAGUGCUCUGCAAGAAGAAGAAGAAGAAGAAGAAGAAGAAGACAUUGAAGAUGCUCAAGACCCUAUACAAGAGCUCCUAGCAUAUGCUUUAGAUUCUUCUUCUUCUUACAAAUUCUUAGCUUCUUCUUCUUACUCCUUGUAAUGACCAUGUACAUCUUGUAAUGACCAUUAAUGAAGAUAUUAUUUCUCCAACUGGAGUUUUGUCUUUACA